GCGUGUAGCUCAGUUGGUUAGAGCGCACCCCUGAUAAGGGUGAGGUCGGUGGUUCGAAUCCACCCACGCC
rnacentral:tRNA from 1 species